GAUCCUAUGAUCUAAUGGUAUGAUUUAACUUCUUCAUAGUUAAAGUACGAGUUCAAUUCUCGUUGGGAUUA
rnacentral:tRNA from 1 species